rnacentral:rRNA from 1 species
CCUACGGGGGGCAGCAGUGGGGAAUAUUGGACAAUGGGGGCAACCCUGAUCCAGCCAUGCCGCGUGUGUGAAGAAGGCCCUCGGGUUGUAAAGCACUUUCAGUGAGGAAGAACGCCUGGUGGUUAAUACCCAUCAGGAAAGACAUCACUCACAGAAGAAGCACCGGCUAACUCCGUGUCAGCAGCCGCGGUAAUACGGAGGGUGCGAGCGUUAAUCGGAAUUACUGGGCGUAAAGCGCGCGUAGGUGGCUUGAUAAGCCGGUUGUGAAAGCCCCGGGCUCAACCUGGGAACGGCAUCCGGAACUGUCAAGCUAGAGUGCAGGAGAGGAAGGUAGAAUUCCCGGUGUAGCGGUGAAAUGCGUAGAGAUCGGGAGGAAUACCAGUGGCGAAGGCGGCCUUCUGGACUGACACUGACACUGAGGUGCGAAAGCGUGGGUAGCAAACAGGAUUAGAUACCCGUGUAGUC